UGGGGAAUAUUGGACAAUGGGCGAAAGCCUGAUCCAGCCAUGCCGCGUGAGUGAAGAAGGCCUUCGGGUUGUAAAGCUCUUUUAGUCGGAAAGAAAGAGUUGCAAUGAAUAAUUGUGAUUUAUGACGGUACCGACAGAAAAAGCACCGGCUAACUACGUGCCAGCAGCCGCGGUAAUACGUAGGGUGCGAGCGUUAAUCGGAAUUACUGGGCGUAAAGGGUGCGCAGGCGGUCUUGCAAGUCAGAUGUGAAAGCCCCGGGCUUAACCUGGGAAUUGCGUUUGAAACUACAAGGCUAGAGUGCAGCAGAGGGGAGUGGAAUUCCAUGUGUAGCAGUGAAAUGCGUAGAGAUGUGGAAGAACACCGAUGGCGAAGGCAGCUCCCUGGGUUGGCACUGACGCUCAUGCACGAAAGCGUGGGGAGCAAACA
rnacentral:rRNA from 1 species